UGUGCUUUUGGUACCAGCUCGGAUGCAGAAGAGCCCCCCACUUGGACGUCUGUCAUCCGCUUUCCAAGUUAUAUUAUUAGGUUCCUUCGCCCCUCCUUCCUCCGGCUCAGAGCUGUGCAGAUUAAAGCCGGUUGAGGGGUGGGGAAGCGAAUCCUCCUCCAUAUCCUGAUACCAUCUUUAGUGUCCUCUGGAGACUUCCUCUGGGGGGGGAGAAGGAGUGGGCUUUCAAGGCCAUCUGGAGCUGGCAUUAGUCAGAGCCCCCGGAGAAUUCAGCCAGGAUGCAGAGUCUGGCAUGGACCUUUUCCGACGGUCAGGAUUGGAUUUUGUAGGUCACCGGCUUCCAAACUGCAAGACUGUUUUUUCUUUGUUUCCUACGCCAACCACACAGAUUCGGGCAGCCCUGAGAAGAGGCGAAUAUAAAACCUGAAGGGUUAAAAAUAAAGAACUUAUGCUGGUACAGUACUUGUCACAGCAGAGCUGUCUCNNNNNNNNNNNNNNNNNNNNNNNNNNNNNNNNNGGUGGGCCCUGGGGGGGGGGGUUGGAGUCCCGUAUGAUGUCACAGAGGUGAGGCAGGUAUUUCAGGAUGAGGAAUGGAGGGGGGAGAGACCAUUCCUGCAGACGGGGAAAGAGCAAAUGGGGACCUCUUUGGGAAGUGUGUGUUCAGUGUCCACAGCAUUCCUUCUGGCAGAAUGAUUCGCCCACCUCCUGCCUGGGAGGCAUAAGAGAAAGUGAUGCAGGAGGCAGCUCUGGAGAAUUUUAGCAGGGACAUCAGGAAACAGAGAAAGCCAAGCAGGGUGCAUGUGUGUGUGUGCGUGUGUUCAUGAAAGGCCCAUCACUUGCUUUUUUGAACUGCUUUUUUCACCCCGGGGUGUCCCCGCUCUCAACAGCAGCCUGCUGGUGGCCGGUUCCUUCCUGCUGAGCCAAAAACCAAGGAGGCAGAAGACAAAGAGGAGGAUGGGAGAAGAAGCUGGGAGACACAUCUGGGGCAAGCGCCACAGCUGCCAGGACUUCCACUCCCAGCUCCAGGAAGAUGGGCUGCAUUUCCUCUCGCUGACCUUCCUCCGAGUCCCACCACUGUCCUCGCCUCCUUUUCCGGCGAAAGUCACAGUCCCCUGAAAUGCCUUCCGGCUUCAUCUCUUUGCCGGCCGGCCAGGAUGCAAAUAGCAUUUAGAGAAGCAGGAGGGGGGCCAGGAAAUGAAGAUCUGUCCUGGCUUAGAUCCAGGCUCAAGGCAGGGCAGGAUUUGAGCAGAAGUGAGAGAGAAUCGGAGGGGAGGUGGAAUGGAGGGAUCAGGAUUCCUGUCCAGCAGAAGAAGACACCACCGGGAAGGGUCACAGAAGGUUCAAAGUGCUCAGUAAAAGGUCUGGAGCAGAACCUAGAAAGGUUGCACGAAGGACGACCGUCCCCAGCGUUCUCCAGCCAGCAUGGCAAAAGGCCUUGUUUUGACGCAUGACGACGACCCACCAAAGGGUCCUCUCCCGGUUAAUGCAACGUGCCAGUACAUAGCUGUAGUUUUAGUGGUUGUGUUAAUCUGUGCUAGCAUGUCAGGGAGGCAAAAGCAAAACACAAAUUAAAACAGAGAAGACGAAAACGGUGUGGCACCUUGGAGACUAACUGCUGUCUUUUAAUACAGCAUUCUGUCUCUUCAUGUCUGAUGAAGUGGACGUGUCCACGAAAGCUCACAUUAAAAUAUAAGGGUUGGUCUUUAAGGUGUCGCGUGUUUUGCUUCAUUUCUUUGGAUUUUGCCUGGAGAUGCCAUAUUUUGAUGUGAGCUUUGGUGGCCUUGUCUGAAGAAGUGGAGUUAUUAUUUGAAUUUAAUUAUACUGCUCUCAUUUGUGCUGCAGCACAUCAUAUAUUGUUUAAUUUAUCUUUUAAUAUUUAACUUACUGUGUUUUUAAAUUGUGUGAAUUUUAAUGCUGUGAGCCAUUUCGGGUCCCUUGUUGGGAAAAAUGCAGCCCAUUAACAACAACAACAACAACAACAACAACAACAACAACAACAACAACAACAACAACAACAACAACAACAACAACAACAACAACAACAACAACAACAACAAUCUGUGGACUUGUCCAUGAAAGCUCACAUUAAAUAAAGCAGUUAAGACUUUUAACGGUGUGAUGUGA
ensembl:lncRNA